AUGGCCUACUUCAGCAGCAUCAGUAACCACGUGAGGGAAGCUGAGGCUGCUUCCAAGGAAACUGAAGGUGAUGUAAUAUUGGUCAAGGAUGCAAAAAUAGCAGUGUACUCAUGUCCUUUUAAUGGCAUGAUGACAGAAACUAAGGGAAUAGUAUUGAUAAAGACAGCUGAAGAAUUGAUGAAUUUUAGUAAAGGAGAAGAAAAUCUCAUGGAUGUACAAGUCAGAGCUAUUGCUGAUACUGGUGCAAAUGUCAUUGUAACAGGUGACAGAGUGGCAGACAUGCUCUUCAUUAUGCAAACAAGCAUAGUAUCAUGCUGGUAAGGCUUAACUCAAGCCUAUGUAAGACAAUUGGUAAUACAACUCUUCCUAGAUUGACUCCUCCUGUCCUUGAAGAAAUGGGACACUGUGACAGUGUAUACCUCUCAGAAUGUGGAGACUCAGCACAGGUGGUGGUUUUUAAGCAUGAAAAAGAAGAUGGUGCCAUUUCUACUAUUGUUCUUUGAGGUUCUACUGACAAUCUAGUGGAUGACAUAGAAAGGGUAGUAGAUGGUGUUAACACUUUCAAAGUUCUAACAAGAGAUAAACGUCUUGUACCUGGAGGUUGCACAACAGAAACUGAAUUGGCCAAACAGAUCACAUCAUAUGGAGAAACCUGUUCUGGAUUUGAACAGUAUGCUACCAAGAAGUUUUCUGAGGCUUUUGAAGCUAUCCCAUGGGCACUGGUGGAGAACUGUGGGGUUAAGGCCAAUGAAAUAAUCUCUAAACUUUAUGCAUCAAGAAGGAAAUAAAGAUGCUGGAUUAGAUAUUGAGGCUAAAGUUCCAGCUAUAAAAGACAUGCUGGAAGCUGGUGUUCUAGAUACUUAUCUGGGAAAAUACUGGGCUAUCAACUUGGCUACUAAUGCUGCAGUCACUGUAUAUAGCGUUGAUCAGAUCAUCAUGGCCAAACCAGCCAGUGGGCCCAAGCCUCCAAGUGGAAAGAAAGAUUGGGAUGAUGACCACGAAGACGGACUGGCUUAA